AGUUGGACACGCACAUCACACCCUGCCCUGCCCCUGAGUCCUAUCGCUUUCUCUUUCCAUCAACACAGGAUCUCAGUCUCUCUCUCUCUCUGGGCUAUGAACAGAUCUGAUUCGCCAGCAAUGAUCUGCUCGCCUUCAUGGAUGGAUCUCUCAUCUUCUACCCAAACACGAACAUCAAAUUCAAAGCAGAUUUUAAGAUCUUGUCACCCCCCAAAAGAUUUAGUCAGGUUCCAUGACCACUCAUGCUAUCAUCCUGUAAUAUCUCAUUUAUCCUCCAUAAUUCUUGGAAUGAUUUGGAAUUUUGACAGCCUUACCACCUAAUUUCCCCAUAGCUAGCCAUAGCAUGAGAUCUUUAUCUUGUUAUAUUAGGGUUAGUUAUAGCCACUAUAAAAGCAGCCAGUACAAAAGUAUUUCUGUACUGGCUUUGCUGUAACUUCAAGUCUCCAAGGAAGCUGCUGAUGUUCAAGUGUGAAAUAAGCAUAUGAUUAGAUAAAAGGCUAUUAUUCUAUCUCUGCCACACCUCAAUUGAGAAUGGAAUGAUGGGAUACUACACCAUAACUAAUUACAUCAACAUGGAUGAUGGACAUGAAUUUCUUCCUUCAACUUGUUAGUUGUUUUGCCACCAUUGUCUAUGAACUUUUGGCAUCUGUUCUUAUCCUUUCAAGGUUUCUUCUGAUCAAUCUCAAACAUUUGUGUUCACUAAACAUAGUCUGACAAUUCAUGCUUACCUCAAUUGAAUGCAUACCCAACUUUGGAUGCGUAAACCUUAUUUAAUUUCUUUCGAAAAGUCUAUCAUUCAUUUACCUACACAUGAAGGAGAAAAAUGCUACUGGGGCAAAAGUGCAGUUUUUAUUCCUUUCACGAGCCUGAGUGAAAAAAAUCAAUGACGUUUUAUUAUGCAUUUGCAUGUGCAAAUAUUCAUAGAAAGCUAGUUUGACAAAGGGCAAAUAAAAUCAAAGUCUACUUUAACAAGUGAGCUUUUCUGCGCUUGGAACAAAAGAUGUAAAUAUUGAGAUAUCUCUUUCAUAUGUAUAUUACUUUCCUCUUUCUGGUCACUUCUUCCAUGGCUUAAAAACAGCUAGUACAAUGAUGCCAGCAAUGAGCAAGAUCAAUAUGAUGGCAAUCAUCAUGCAUUUCCUUGAUUUCUUUUGCAAGCUCUUUGCAGUUUGGAGAGCGUCGUUACCCAACCUCACAUGAUCAGUUGCAUUUGUCACCUGUUCAUCACAAAAUACCAUUUUUAUAGGACAGAAAAUGGAUUAGUAAUCUGAAGUAGUAGUAGAAUGCUGGCAACAAGUUGUAAGAUAACAGGACUGAGACUCACUUUUCAAUUUACCAGUGAUCAUAAUUCUUUUAAGCAA